UACGUAGGGUGCGAGCGUUGUCCGGAAUUAUUGGGCGUAAAGAGCUCGUAGGCGGUCUGUCGCGUCGGAUGUGAAAGCCCGGGGCUUAACCCCGGGUCUGCAUUCGAUACGGGCAGACUAGAGUGUGGUAGGGGAGAUCGGAAUUCCUGGUGUAGCGGUGAAAUGCGCAGAUAUCAGGAGGAACACCGGUGGCGAAGGCGGUUGGCUGGGCCGUGGCUGACACUGAUGCGCGACAGCGUGGGGAGCAAACAGG
rnacentral:rRNA from 1 species